rnacentral:rRNA from 1 species
CAUGCAAGUCAGGGGCAGCAUGAGACAGAGAUUCGUCGAAGCUUGAUGGCGACCGGCGCAAGGGUGCGUAACGCGUGAGCAAACUUGCCCGUUUCAGGGGGAUAACCGUUGGAAACGACGACUAAUACCCCAUGGCAUCAUAAGGAGGCAUCUCCAUAUGAUUAAAGAAUUUCGGUAACGGAUGAGGAUGCGUACGAUUAGCUGGUUGGCGGGGUAACGGCCCACCAAGGCGACGAUCGUUAGGGGUUCUGAGAGGAAGGUCCCCCACACUGGAACUGAGACACGGUCCAGACUCCUACGGGAGGCAGCAGUGAGGAAUAUUGGUCAAUGGUCGGAAGACUGAACCAGCCAAGUAGCGUGAAGGAUGAAGGUUCUAUGGAUUGUAAACUUCUUUUAUACGGGAAUAAAACCUCCCACGUGUGGGAGCUUGUAUGUACCGUAUGAAUAAGCAUCGGCGUAACUCCGUG